AGGUUGAACAAGUUUAUGUCUAAACUGUCAUAUUUAUUCACAGAUUUUGUCUACUUGCUUCAAAACAGAAAUGUGGCUUUUGCUUGCUGGUAAUUUGGGUUAUGGUGUGGCUGCCUAUUACUCAAGAUGAUCUCAUAUCAUAUCAUCAAUUUCAGGAACAUUAUCUCAGCUGUUGUUGAUUUUAGAACAGAUCGUUGGCAUUGUACCUUCAAGGGACUAUCCUUUUGCCUACUGAGCACACAAAACAAAUGUGUCUAUAUAUUUAUUUAAGUGAAACAACAUGCUUCCAUUUUUGGUCAAUCGGUGGAUCUGACUAAUACAUAACUACAUAUAUAUGUGUGAGGAAUUUGCAGCAGGAUCCCUUGCCUGUGCUCUCUGCUUGUCCUCACUCCUUAGACCUUCCCUUUGCUUAUCACCAUACAUUUUAUUCAGAGUGGUGUCAAGAUGCAUCUCCUCUGCCAAGAUGAUCGGCAGAGGGCCUAAGCUCUAGGGUCAAAUGGCGGGAAGUAUCAAGUCGAAGAUAUUAUGGCUUUUUUACAUCUUCUAUUUUCUUUAAAUGGAAGUUGAUGUUGGUUUGGUGAUCGAAGACUUGGGCUCUUCCAUAGUGUUUUGUAGAGUGAUCGAACACUUAAGUCUCUUAUGAACUAGGCCCAUAUUUUGUAACAUGCCACAACUUGUAUGUUGACUUGAGUAUUUGUUUCAAUGGU